rnacentral:rRNA from 1 species
GAUGAACGCUGACAGAAUGCUUAACACAUCAGCAAUUGAUUGGUGGCGGACGGGUGAGUAACGCGUAAAGAACUUGCCUCACAGCUAGGGACAACAUUUGGAAACGAAUGCUAAUACCGAAUACUGUGAGAGAGCUUUUCGUCCCAUUAGCUAGUUGGAGAGGUAACGGCUCACCAAGGCGAUGAUGGGUAGCCGGCAUGAGAGGGUGAGCGGCCACACAGGGACUGGGACACGGCCCUUACGCCUACGGGAGGCAGCUGUGGGGAAUAGUGGGACAUGGACCAAAGUUUGACCCAGCAAUUCGGUGUGCGCGAUGAAGUUUUCGGAAGGUAAAGUUCUUUCAGUUGAGGAGCAGAACCAACACAAGAAGUGACGGCUAAAUACGUGCCAGCAGCCGCGGUAAUAC